GGUGAAAUCUGUAGAUAUCAGGAAGAACAUCUGUGGCGAAGGCGAGCUUCUGGCCAGAAACUGACGCUGAGGCGCGAAAGCUUGGGGAGCGAACAGGAUUAGAUACCCUGGUAGUCCACGCUGUAAACGAUGUGCACUAGGUGUUGGCUGUGAUAACGGUCAGUGCCGAAGCAAACGCGAUAAGUGCACCGCCUGGGGAGUAUGCUCGCAAGGGUGAAACUCAAAGGAAUUGACGGGGGCCCGCACAAGCGGUGGAGCAUGUGGUUUAAUUCGAUGAUACGCGAGGAACCUUACCAGGGUUUGACAUAUGGCGGACUGCGGCAGAGAUGUCGCUUCCCUUCGGGGCCGUCAUACAGGUGCUGCAUGGCUGUCGUCAGCUCGUGCUGUGAGGUGUUGGGUUAAGUCCCGCAACGAGCGCAACCCCUGCUGUCUGUUACCAGCACGUAAUGGUGGGGACUCAGGCGGUACUGCCGGUGACAAACCGGCGCGAAGGUGGGGACGACGUCAAGUCAUCAUGGCCCUUAUGUCCUGGGCUACACACGUGCUACAAUGGCCGGUACAGAGUGCAGCGAAACCGUGAGGUGGAGCAAAUCACAGAAAGCCGGUCUCAGUACGGAUUGGAGUCUGAAACCCGACUUCAUGAAGCUGGAAUCGCUAGUAAUCGCGCAUCAGCACGCCGCGCUGAAUACGUUCCCGGGCCUUGUACACACCGCCCGUCACACCACCCGAGUUGGGGGUACCCGAAGUCGCUUGACUAACCGGAAACGGGGGA
rnacentral:rRNA from 1 species